AUUGAACGCUGGCGGCAGGCCUAACACAUGCAAGUCGAGCGGAGCGGCGGACGGGUGAGUAAUGACUAGGAAUCUGCCUGGUAGUGGGGGAUAACGACCGGAAAAGGGAGCUAAUACCGCAUACUAUCAGAUGAGCCUAGGUCGGAUUAGCUAGUUGGUGGGGUAAAGGCAUAACAAGGCGACGAUCCGUAACUGGUCUGAGAGGAUGAGCCGACACACUGGGACUUAGACACGGUCCAAACUCCUACGGGGUGCAGCAGUCGGGAAUAUUGGACAAUGGGCGAAAGCCUGAUCCAGCCAUGCCGCUUGUGUGAAGAAGGUCUUCGGAUUGUAAAGCACUUUUAGUUGGGAGGCGUUACCAACAGAAUGAUCACCGGCUAACUACGUGCCAGCAGCCGCGGUAAUAC
rnacentral:rRNA from 1 species